AUACGUAGGGUGCAAGCGUUAAUCGGAAUUAUUGGGCGUAAAGCGCAUGUAGGCGGUAAUUUAAGUCUGUCGUGAAACUGCGGGGCUCAGCCCCGUAUGGCGAUGGAAACUGGGUUACUUGAGUGCAGGAGAGGAAAGGGGAACUCCCAGUGUAGCGGGGAAAUGCGUAGAUAUUGGGAAGAACACCGGUGGCGAAGGCGCCUUUCUGGACUGUGUCUGACGCUGAGAUGCGAAAGCCAGGGUAGCGAACGGGAUUAGAUACCCCGGUAGUCCUGGCCGUAAACGAUGGGUACUAGGUGUGGGAGGUAUCGACCCCUUCCGUGCCGGAGUUAACGCAAUAAGUACCCCGCCUGGGGAGUACGGCCGCAAGGCUUAAACUCAAAUGAAUCGACGGGG
rnacentral:rRNA from 1 species